rnacentral:rRNA from 1 species
GAUGAACGCUGGCGGCGUGCCUAAUACAUGCAAGUCGAACGAAACUUCUUUAUCACCGAGUGCUUGCACUCACCGAUAAAGAGUUAAGUGGCGAACGGGUGAGUAACACGUGGGCAACCUGCCCAAAAGAGGGGGAUAACACUUGGAAACAGGUGCUAAUACCGCAUAACCAUAGUUACCGCAUGGUAACUAUGUAAAAGGUGGCUAUACUACCGCUUUUGGAUGGGCCCGCGGCGCAUUAGCUAGUUGGUAGGGUAAAGGCUUACCAAGGCAAUGAUGCGUAGCCGAAUUGAGAGGUUGAUCGGCCACAUUGGGACUGAGACACGGCCCAAACUCCUACGGGAGGCAGCAGUAGGGAAUCUUCCACAAUGGGCGAAAGCCUGAUGGAGCAACGCCGCGUGGGUGAAGAAGGUCUUCGGAUCGUAAAACCCUGUUGUUAGAGAAGAAAGUGCGUGAGAGUAACUGUUCACGUUUCGACGGUAUCUAACCAGAAAGCCACGGCUAACUACGUG